rnacentral:rRNA from 1 species
AUGGAGGUGCUCACCACCAUACUGAAUUUGUUUGGCGAGGCCAUGGGCCUGAAGAUCAACAGGCAGAAAUCAACAGCGACGCCAAUUAGAUGUGAAGAAGUGGAUGUUCAGCAAAUUCUGCAAAGUUUUGGAGGCAUCAUCACUAAUUUCCCGCUAAAAUACUUGGGACUCCCGCUAACUCUGACAAGAACGAGACUUGUGCACCUCCAGUUUGUUUUGGACCGAAUCAGAGCACGGCUAGCUGGAUGGAAGGGCAGGCUCAUGUCCAUUGCUGGCCGACGAGUCCUCAUCAGAGCAGUGCUAACUGCAAUCCCAGCGUUUGCAAUGUCAGUGCUUCGCAUGCCCAAGAAAUUCUUCAGAGAAAUCGACAAAGUCAGACGACGCUUCCUGUGGGCACAAGAGAAUGAGCUUUCCGGAGGCAAAUGUAAAGUAAACUAG